AUUGAACGCUGGCGGCAGGCCUAACACAUGCAAGUCGAACGAGUGGCGGACGGGUGAGUAAUGUCUGGGAAACGGCCCGAUGGAGGGGGAUAAUUAAGGGAAACGGUAGCUAAAACAGAAUACCAUCGGAUGAACCCAGAUGGGAUUAGCGAGUGGGUGGGGUAACGGCUCACCUAGGCGACGAUCCCUAGCUGGUCUGAGAGGAUGACCAGCCACACUGGAACUUAGACACGGUCCAGACUCCUACGGGAGGCAGCAGUGGGGAAUAUUGCACAAGGGGCGCAAGCCUUGUGCAGCCAUGCCGCGUGUAUGAAGAAGGCCUUCGGGUUGUAAAGUACUUUCAGCGGGGAGGCGUUACCCGCAGAAGAAGCACCGGCUAACUCCGUGCCAGCAGCCGCGGUAAUUC
rnacentral:rRNA from 1 species